rnacentral:rRNA from 1 species
UACAGGGGGUGCAAACGUUGCUCGGAAUCAUUGGGCGUAAAGCGCACGUAGGCGGUCUGUUAUGUCGGAUGUGAAAGCCCUUGGCUCAACUGAGGAAGUGCAUCCGAAACUGGCAGGCUAGAGUACUAAAGAGGAUCGCGGAAUUCCCAGUGUAGAGGUGAAAUUCGUAGAUAUUGGGAAGAACACCGGUGGCGAAGGCGGCGCUCUGGACCGAGACUGACGCUGAGGCGCGAAAGCGUGGGGAGCAAACAGG